CAUAUAUCCCUGCACUAUUCACGUUCAUCAUGCGUCUUAGUGAUUGUUGUUGUGUAGGAUAAACUAGAAAUAAUGUUUGUUCUGUAGGUACUUAAUCAAAAUUCCUCAAAUACAGCAGUGCUGAUUGUCAAUUAUGAGAAUUCAAUUUGCCAAAUAAUUCUUGCAAUAUAUCAUCAUAGUUUUUCAACCGAUUGCUCAAUAUUGGAAAGGAAAUGACGAUGCCCCUAAACUGGAAUGAUGUUCACUAAAACCAGAGUUUUUAACGGAAAUGCA
rnacentral:lncRNA from 1 species